rnacentral:rRNA from 1 species
UACGUAGGGUGCAAGCGUUAAUCGGAAUUACUGGGCGUAAAGCGUGCGCAGGCGGUUAUGUAAGACAGAUGUGAAAUCCCCGGGCUCAACCUGGGAACUGCAUUUGUGACUGCAUAGCUAGAGUACGGUAGAGGGGGAUGGAAUUCCGCGUGUAGCAGUGAAAUGCGUAGAUAUGCGGAGGAACACCGAUGGCGAAGGCAGCCUCCUGGGCCAGCACUGACGCUCAUGCACGAAAGCGUGGGGAGCAAACAGG